UACGAAGGGAGCUAGCGUUGUUCGGAAUUACUGGGCGUAAAGGGCGCGUAGGCGGCUUGACAAGUUGGAUGUGAAAGCCCUGGGCUCAACCCGGGAAUUGCAUUCAAGACUGUCUUGCUUGAAUUCGGUAGAGGUUGGUGGAAUUCCCAGUGUAGAGGUGAAAUUCGUAGAGAUUGGGAGGAACACCCGUGGCGAAGGCGGCCAACUGGACCGACAUUGACGCUGAGGCGCGAAAGCGUGGGGAUCAAACAGG
rnacentral:rRNA from 1 species